rnacentral:rRNA from 1 species
GUGCCAGCAGCCGCGGUAAUACGUAGGUGGCAAGCGUUGUCCGGAUUUAUUGGGCGUAAAGCGAGCGCAGGCGGUUUCUUAAGUCUGAUGUGAAAGCCCCCGGCUCAACCGGGGAGGGUCAAUGGAAACUGGGAGACUUGAGUGCAGAAGAGGAGAGUGGAAUUCCAUGUGUAGCCGGGAAAUGCGUAGAUAUAUGGAGGAACACCACUGGCGAACGCCGCUCUCUGGUCUGUAACUGACGUUGGAGGCUCGAAAGCGUGGGGGAGCAAACAGGAUUAAAUACCCUGGUAGUCC